rnacentral:rRNA from 1 species
ACAGGCUUAACACAUGCAAGUCGAGGGGUAGCAGGGUAGCAAUACCGCUGACGACCGGCGCACGGGUGAGUAACACGUAUCCAACCUUCCCAUAACUCGGGGAUAGCCUUUCGAAAGAAAGAUUAAUACCCGAUAGUACUUUAUCAAGGCAUCUUCUUAAAGUUAAAGAUUUAUUGGUUAUGGAUGGGGAUGCGUUCCAUUAGAUAGUUGGUGAGGUAACGGCUCACCAAGUCUUCGAUGGAUAGGGGUUCUGAGAGGAAGGUCCCCCACAUUGGUACUGAGACACGGACCAAACUCCUACGGGAGGCAGCAGUGAGGAAUAUUGGUCAAUGGGCGAGAGCCUGAACCAGCCAAGUAGCGUGAAGGAUGACGG